GUGGGCAAUCAGCAUUAAAUAAUGUUUUAUAAAUCCAGAAGAGAAUUUUUAAAAGAAAACAUCUCAGGUGGAAGGUUAGACUAUGUUGAAAGGAUUAAAUAUAAUUAUAGAGAAGUUAGAUGACAGAAGCUAACUGUAUUAAGCAGUGAAUUAAAAAUGAUGAAAUAGGAGUUCCCAUUGUGACUCAGUGGGUUAAGAAACUGGUUAGUAUCCAUGAGGAUGUGGGUUUGAUCUGGUGUGGCUGUGACGGGAUCAUAAGUGGGCAGCUGCAGCUCUGAUUUGACCCCUAGCCAGGAACUUCCAUAUGCCUCAGGUGUGGUCCUAAAAAGAAAAAAAAAAUAGAGAACAGUAAUUUAAGAUCAUUCUUUUCAGCCCCUCAAAGUGUAAGGGGAAGGAGACUUCCCAAGACCCCUAGCUGUCUCCUUAAUAUCAACUCUGUCCUUCUCAUUGAGUAAGAGAACUCAUAUUAUUGGUCAUGGUAAUUUGGCCAGUUUAAAAUUACAUCCCUAAGACCCCUUGCAAUUGGGGAUGUAUGAUCUCACGUCAUUGGGUGGGGCUUCCGGGAAGCUCUUAAAAGGGCUGCCUCCACUGCGAGCCAUGUCUUUUUCCCUUCUCCCUCUGUAUUUCUCCCUUCUUGUAAUGGGGACGAGAUGUCUGAAGCAGAGCAACCAGUAUGGGACCUUGAAAAAAAUGUCAAGAGACUCUCAGCUUGAGACUGACUGGAGACACUUAGCACAAUGUCACUACAUUGAUGACAGGUAAGAGAAGACGUCAAUCAGAAGACUCAUUGGCAUCAUGAGGCAAAUGUCUUGAAACCUUUGAAGCACAGGUGAUGUGUCCUGGAGGACUGCCUGACAUGUGGUAUGAGGCCUGCAGACAAGGUGGGACAACUGCCCUGGGUUCCCGCUCUAGGGGCCUUUCCAGGUAAAAGAAAUCUGCUACUUCCAUCACUGUUCUUGGAGUCUAUAAGCCAGAGAGGGAACUUGCAAUCAACAACUGUUGAAAUAAGGAAGAGUGAGAGAUGACCCACACAGACAGCUCAUGCCCAAGGUCAUGGUGGACUUUUGGUAGCUCUGAGACUUGAACUUGUCCAGUGUGUGAGACUCACUCAAUAUGGGCAUAUUAGCACCAUUCUGGCAACAGAGUUUCUUGUGAUACCAUGAAAGGAAUCCCAUGCUGGCUAGUGAGAAUGGUCCUAUGGCUAUAUCACUUCCUGAAAUUGGACCAAGGGGCCCUUGCAUGAUGCCAUAGUCAGUCUUAGACAUUGUGGUCAUGCUGAUAGUGGGCGUUGUACAACACCUCGAAGGAGAAAAAUGGGGAC
rnacentral:lncRNA from 1 species